GAGAGAGAGUAAAAGAGAGGUGCAAAUAUUCCAAGGUGGAUUCUUUGUACUAUAAAUAUAUAGACACAGUCCACAUUAUUUAUAUUUGCUCCUUAAUCUUUUGUCAUUUAUGCAGAGAAAAGCCUAAAUACUUUAGCACUGGGGCUAUCCCUGGCACUAACUGUGACAGCGGUUUCAGGUUUUGUGUUAUUUGUGAGGAAAAGAAGAAGGAAUAGGGAUAGUUCGUUGACGAAGGAAGAAGAAUCUCCGAUGGUGUCUCCGGAAAUCCAGCCCGAUAAAAUGACAGAAAGGUUUCAAGACUUUUUGCUGAAUAAAGUCAAGGAUAUGUAUCCAAACAUGCUUGAUGAUUGUUACUUUGUGCCUCCACUCUACUUUAACAAAACUCAAUAUGCAGAAAAAUCUGUCGUCGAUCAAGUCUUCUACGUCCCUCACCCUCCUAACCUCAAAGACAUCCGCCAUGACCGAGCCAUGCAGCACGUGAUACACUGCUUACGUCACAUGGUGGAACAAUAUCAGGAACAAAUGUUUGUCCUGACACAGUUUAAAUACGAUGACUACCUGAGAUGUCCCAGUUCUGAGUACACAGGACAUCGUUUGCCUGUUCCCUGUGGUCUUGAGGGUGGUACACGUGACCAGGAUAUCGGAUGUUUUGAUGUUUUUAUCAUCCACAGACUUCACGGCGUGGUGGUUGGGGUUGUCAAGACUUUUAGUGACAAAGACGAUGGCAGUGAGAAUGGGCAGCAGAGAACCGAUGAACUGCUGAUCUCAGAGGUGUCCAAAGGCCUGCGACAGCUACAGAGGGCAGAUCGUAUGAUACAACAUCUCGUGUCAGAUAUGAGUCCGAUUCCUGCAGUUGGACUGUCCUUGAUGUUACCAAACAUUACCAAAUCUACACUAAGGCGAGCAUUUGACAGAACAA